GACGAACGCUGGCGGCGUGCCUAACACGUGCAAGUCGAGCGAUGAAAUUAGAAACGGAGUCUUCGGACGAAGAGGAAAAUGGAUUAGCGGCGGACGGGUGAGUAACACGUGAGCAACCUGCCUAUCACAUCGGGAUAGCCUCGGGAAACUGGGAUUAAUACCGAAUGAAACAUAAUCACUGCCUAGUGGAAAUGUCAAAGAUUUAUCGGUGAUAGAUGGGCUCGCGUCUGAUUAGCUAGUUGGGGAGGUAAUGGCUCACCAAGGCGACGAUCAGUAGCCGGCCUGAGAGGGUGAACGGCCACAUUGGGACUGAGACACGGCCCAAACUCCUACGGGAGGCAGCAGUGGGGAAUAUUGCACAAUGGAGGGAACUCUGAUGCAGCGACGCCGCGUGAGCGAUGAAGGCUUUCGAGUCGUAAAGCUCUGUCGAAUGGGAAGAUAAUGACGGUACCAUUUGAGAAAGCCCCGGCUAACUACGUGCCAGCCGCCGCCGUAAGAC
rnacentral:rRNA from 1 species